GUGCCAGCAGCCGCGGUAAUACGGGGGGGGCAAGCGUUGUUCGGAAUUACUGGGCGUAAAGGGCGCGUAGGCGGCUCACUAAGUCGGAUGUGAAAACUCUGGGCUCAACCCAGAGCCUGCAUCCGAAACUGGUGGGCUAGGGUGCUGGAGGGGAUAGCGGAAUUCCUGGUGUAGCGGUGAAAUGCGUAGAUAUCAGGAGGAACACCGGUGGCGAAGGCGGCUAUCUGGACAGUAACCGACGCUGAGGCGCGAAAGCUAGGGGAGCAAACAGGAUUAGAUACCCUUGUAGUCC
rnacentral:rRNA from 1 species